rnacentral:rRNA from 1 species
AGCAGCCGCGGUAAUUCCAGCUCCAAUAGCGUAUAUUAAAGUUGUUGCAGUUAAAAAGCUCGUAGUUGAAUUUCGGGGUCAGUGCGUCGGUCGUGCCUUCGGUACGUACUAACGUUAUUGAUUCCUACCUUCUGACGAACCGUGAUGUCAUUAAUUUGGUGUUACGGGGAAUCAGGACUGUUACCUUGAAAAAUUAGAGUGUUUAAAGCAGGCCAAAGCUUGAAUACAUUAGCAUGGAAUAAUGAAAUAGGACGUUUGACCCUAUUUUGUUGGUUUCUAGGAUCGACGUAAUGAUUAAUAGGGAUAGUUGGGGGCAUUAGUAUUCAAUUGUCAGAGGUGAAAUUCUUGGAUUUAUUGAAGACUAACUACUGCGAAAGCAUUUGCCAAGGAUGUUUUCAUUAAUCAAGAACGAAAGUUAGGGGAUCGAAGACGAUCAGAUACCGUCGUAGUCUUAACCAUAAACUAUGCCGACUAGGGAUCGGAUGAUGUAAUUUUAUAAUGAC